AUCCGGGUUGCGGACAGUGUCUGGUGGGUAGUUUGACUGGGGCGGUCUCCUCCUAAAGAGUAACGGAGGAGCACGAAGGUUGGCUAAUCCUGGUCGGACAUCAGGAGGUUAGUGCAAUGGCAUAAGCCAGCUUGACUGCGAGCGUGACGGCGCGAGCAGGUGCGAAAGCAGGUCAUAGUGAUCCGGUGGUUCUGAAUGGAAGGGCCAUCGCUCAACGGAUAAAAGGUACUCCGGGGAUAACAGGCUGAUACCGCCCAAGAGUUCAUAUCGACGGCGGUGUUUGGCACCUCGAUGUCGGCUCAUCACAUCCUGGGGCUGAAGUAGGUCCCAAGGGUAUGGCUGUUCGCCAUUUAAAGUGGUACGCGAGCUGGGUUUAGAACGUCGUGAGACAGUUCGGUCCCUAUCUGCCGUGGGCGCUGGAGAACUGAGGGGGGCUGCUCCUAGUACGAGAGGACCGGAGUGGACGCAUCACUGGUGUUCGGGUUGUCAUGCCAAUGGCACUGCCCGGUAGCUAAA
rnacentral:rRNA from 1 species